CCUCAUCUCUAGUCGUUGUGGCGGCGGCAAACUCCUUGUAAGCCGGUCGAAUCCAUCUGUAAUGGGGAUCGAGAAAUAUAAACCCUAGUUCUAGUCUCGUUCUUGUCUCGCGGCGCCCUUAAAUUUUCUUUAGAUCUUUUGCUUUAUCUUGUUAUAAAUUUUGCCUGUAGGUUCCAGGUAGGUAGCCACUCAGCUCAAAUCUCUGAAUCUCUCAGGAAUCCGGGAGAAAUUGGCCCUUGCAUCCUGACAGAGCCGAAGCAAAGCGGUCGCCGGCGGCGGUCAUGGACGACGACCGGCGAUGCCCUUCCUUGGGUUGCGACCUCCCGCGCGUCGGAAUCGGUAUCGGUUCUAGGUUCCGCGUCCGUUGCGCGGUAUAUUUGUGUUUCAGUGCUUUCUAGGUGCUCAUCCUUCUUGCAUGUUCAUCUGGUUGCAAAUUCGGCACAUGAAAAACAAAGUAAUGCAGCAAUGCAUCAGUUCAGGUUGCCACGGCAUACAGUGGGGUCCGAAGGGUUUCAAUGCCAGGAGGGACACUCUCCACCCCUGAUAGAAACACAAUAUACAAACCUUCAAUGACUGGAAGUGCACCAUUCAUAAUUUGUAUCUGGUUGACAUCAGGCAUGUGCUUCAGCACAAGCAUCUUCAGGCGUGGGAAGGCCUUUGCAUCAAGAACCAAUGUUU